rnacentral:rRNA from 1 species
UACGUAGGUGGCAAGCGUUGUCCGGAUUUAUUGGGUUUAAAGGGUGCGUAGGCGGCUUUUUAAGUCAGUGGUGAAAUCCAGCAGCUUAACUGUUGAAUUGCCAUUGAUACUGGAGAGCUUGAGUACAGACGAGGUAGGCGGAAUUUAUGGUGUAGCGGUGAAAUGCAUAGAUACCAUAAAGAACACCGAUUGCGAAGGCAGCUUACUAGGCUGUAACUGACGCUGAGGCACGAAAGUGUGGGGAUCAAACAGG